GUCCACGCCCUAAACGAUGAUGACUAGUUGUUGGAGGAGUUAAAUCCUUUAGUAACGCAGCUAACGCGUGAAGUCAUCCGCCUGGGGAGUACGGUCGCAAGAUUAAAACUCAAAGGAAUUGACGGGGGCCCCGCACAAGCGGUGGAUGAUGUGGUUUAAUUCGAUGCAACGCGAAAAACCUUACCUACCCUUGACAUGUCAGGAACGCUGCAGAGAUGCAGCGGUGCCCGAAAGGGAACCUGAACACAGGUGCUGCAUGGCUGUCGU
rnacentral:rRNA from 1 species